GACGAACGCUGGCGGCGUGCUUAACACAUGCAAGUCGAGCGGGUAAGGCCCUUUCGGGGGUACACGAGCGGCGAACGGGUGAGUAACACGUGGGUGACCCGCCCUCAGCUCUGGGAUAAGCCUGGGAAACCGGGUCUAAUACCGGAUAUGACUCCAUGACGCAUGUUGUGGGGUGGAAAGCCUUGUGCGGCUGAGGAUGGGCCCGCGGCCUAUCAGCUUGUUGGUGGGGUGANGGCCUACCAAGGCGACGACGGGUAGCCGGCCUGAGAGGGCGACCGGCCACACUGGGACUGAGACACGGCCCAGACUCCUACGGGAGGCAGCAGUGGGGAAUCUUGCGCAAUGGGCGAAAGCCUGACGCAGCGACGCUGCGUGAGGGAUGACGGCCUGGUGUAAC
rnacentral:rRNA from 1 species